UACGGGGGGGCAAGCGUUGUUCGGAAUUACUGGGCGUAAAGGGCUCGUAGGCGGCCAACUAAGUCAGACGUGAAAUCCCUCGGCUUAACCGGGGAACUGCGUCUGAUACUGGUUGGCUUGAAUCCGGGAGAGGGAUGUGGAAUUCCAGGUGUAGCGGUGAAAUGCGUAGAUAUCGUAAGGAAGACCAGUGGCGAAGGCGGGUCUCUGGACAGUUCCUGACGCUGAAGCACGAAGGCCAGGGGAGCAAACGGG
rnacentral:rRNA from 1 species